rnacentral:lncRNA from 1 species
UGGAUUCAGCCACCGCUAACUGCCAGGGCAAUGACUUGUUGUAAACAAUACAAAUGAGCCGGGAGAGCAGAGGCAACCAGACAUGAAAUGAUUUUAAUAGAAAUUACGGUAAAAGGUCAUGUGAUUUGGUAUCCGCUCCCGUGCAGCUUUAAAGGGAAAGUCUUUCUUUUCUCCCCCCUCCACCCCAGCCCCUAUUUCUGAGCAGCCCAAAUGGGUGUCUCCCGGAAGUUGGCAGGUGGGGGCUGCUGUUGUCCUGCCUGAGCUCGGUGACUUGUGGGUGUCCCCAGUAGAGGUUGCACAGUACAGUGUGAAUGUCAGCUCUGCUUCUCAGAGGCGGAAUGGAGAGCAAAGGAGAAAUGACCUUGAACUCAAAAGCUUCGGUCCUGCCCACUUUCCGUGUACCUGGAGAGUAAUCCCUGCCAUAACAUCAUCUUUGAGAGAAGCUUGCCAGUGUGAGACCCGUGUGACAUUCCUCCACCAAAGCAACUCACACCAGUAAGGGAGAAGGCGCAUGGCUGAAUCUUCAUUCAAAUAUGGGUGAUUUUCCCUCCUGCUGAUGAAUAAAGCUACAUAGUCAGGUGUAUAGCAGAAGGUGAAAUGAAUGUGCAUUCUCUCGUCUGAGCUUUAUUUUCUGAAUAUCAGGCAAAUGAGACCCCAGUAUAGCUGUGAGUAUUAGGAUGAAUGUCCUAGCCUGACUUAAUUCUAAGAGUAUGACCAAGACAUUAUGUCUUUUGGUAAUGGCUCUGAAUCUUCAACUUGGUCUGGCGUAGUCAUCGUUUGACUGUACAUCCCAGAUAGAAAGUCCAUGCAAGCUAUUGCUAAUGACUCAAAACUACUGCUUGUUACCAGCAGCUCGGUGCCAUUUAGGGGUCAACUUUUUACCUGAAACCAUCAUGAGCCAACAGCAGUCACCAGUACUUUUAGAAUCUCAGACUAUUUGUUCUCCUACGUAGCACACAUACAUUCAGUGGAAGGAUGCAGGCUUAUUAGCAAAGGGGUCUUUCUGGUACCUCAGUGUUUGUACGCUAGAGGUUCGCUCUCUAUUUCCUGUGUUAUUUAAUAAUCAGUUUAAUUUUAGUCAAGUUUCACUUUACUACUCCUAGAAAUUGGAGAAAAAUAUUGCCUACGUUCACUUGCUGUGUCACACAGACACAACACCCAGCAAAGGUAAAAGAUAAAGGAUCAAUUCUUAUGGAUUGCAUA